rnacentral:rRNA from 1 species
UACAGAGGGUGCAAGCGUUGUUCGGAAUUAUUGGGCGUAAAGCGCGUGUAGGCGGCUUUGCAAGUCGGGUGUGAAAGCCCUCAGCUCAACUGAGGAAGUGCGCCCGAAACUGCAUGGCUUGAGUACCGGAGAGGAUGGUGGAAUUCCCCAAGUAGAGGUGAAAUUCGUAGAUAUGGGGAGGAACACCGGUGGCGAAGGCGACCAUCUGGACGGAUACUGACGCUGAGACGCAAAAGCGUGGGUAGCAAACAGG